rnacentral:tRNA from 1 species
GGGCGUGGCUCAGUGGUAGAGCAUUCACUUAACAUGCCAGAGACCCUGGAUUCAAUCUCCAGCAUCACA